GCAUUUACAACCACUGCACCAUGAAAUUAUCUGGUUUCUUUUAAGGGGUCCCUAUUCCAGAAUUUGAAGCUUACUGAAACAAUAUGGCAACAUUGCCAUUCCUGAUGGGGAGAAGAGAGAGAUUCACCUUUGGCUGUGUGGGAUGGCAGAGAACCAGCCUGCAUCCACUUGUGAGGGUUCUGCAGGGGCUGGUGAUGAUCUGCUCUCAUGGAUUUUUCCUGACCUUCACCCACUGAAGAUGAUCAGAGCUCUGCCACUG